GCUUGGGUGGCUCAGUUGGUUAAGCAUCUGACUUCGGCUCAGGUCAUGAUCUCGCUGUUUGUGAGUUCGAGCCCCACGUCAGGCU
rnacentral:tRNA from 1 species